rnacentral:rRNA from 1 species
UACGGGGGGGGCAAGCGUUGUUCGGAAUUACUGGGCGUAAAGGGCUCGUAGGCGGCCCACUAAGUCUGACGUGAAAUCCCUCGGCUUAACCGGGGAACUGCGUCUGAUACUGGAUGGCUUGAGUUCGGGAGAGGGAUGCGGAAUUCCAGGUGUAGCGGUGAAAUGCGUAGAUAUCUGGAGGAACACCGGUGGCGAAGGCGGCAUCCUGGACCGACACUGACGCUGAGGAGCGAAAGCCAGGGGAGCAAACGGG